rnacentral:lncRNA from 1 species
AGCAGCUCUUCCUCCAGCAGGUAAGAUGAGCAAUAAUACACCUUGAAAUGUUUUAUCUACUUAAUACAUUUUAUAUCUUACAUCUGUUAAUUAAUGAUGGGAUAUAUCCUUCUGAUUCUUCAUACAUAAUUAAUAGUCUGUCAUUUUCUCUCAAAUGGAAACACAGCAAUGACAGCAGCAAAUGUAUCCAGAACCAGAAGACUGGCUGCUGUCAGAAAAGACAAAGGACUUUUUUUUACCAUCUUCUCUCUCCUAUUUCUGCUUUAUGUUGCAAAUUUACUGACCAGCCAGACAAGCAAAGAACGUGAGAAAGAAGAAGCAGAAGACAGAGAAAUGGCAGGAUACGAACACAUGAAGAAAAAAGCCUCAAGAGAAUAUGACGAAAAACUGAAGCACAUUCAUCCUAUUCUGGAACUAAUAAAGUCAUCAUCAUUAGCAGAUGACUUUCCACCACUGCUGGAAAUGGCAACAAGUUUGAAUCGCUUCUAUGAGAGAAGUAAGAUUAUGUUUGAUAGGCAGAAGGACUGUUUUGCUGCAAAUACAAAAGUCAACGAAAAGGAACUGGAAGAACUACAGAACAUCUUAAAUAUCCUGGAUGAGUUUCUGUAACAAUUUUUCGAAUGUGGUGUUUAAAUAUGAUUUAGUUUGAUGUUUUUUACUGGAAUUACUGUGUUAGCCCUGUGUCAGGGCUGCCAAACUGUAACUUUGAUUUGUUUUUCGCUAACAAUUUCUGUAAUUUGUUAUAUAGUAAUGUAUCACAAUUUGUAAAUAUUCAUACAGUCUUGUUUUUCUGUUUUUUAUCGGAGACUUUGACAAUGUUUGCAUCUACCUUCUUGAGCAUGUCCUUGGCUUGGUUAGAUGUUGUCAAGCAGAUUUUGUUGACCCUGGAAAGAAUUCUGUUAUCAUGCACUUUAUUUGUCUUCUGUGGUCUUUCGUGUCUUUUGGUGUGCCUGAGCUGGCCUGUGCAAUUAUUCUUUUAAAAUUCAAUGAAUUAUUAAAGAUUUUGCUAUCCUUCAGGGUUAUUUGGGUUUUUCAACCUGAUGAUUACUUAUUUCUACUUAUAUAUAAAAAAGUUCCAGUGAAAAGCUAGACAUUAAACACUUUAAAAUCAACAAAAAAAUCAGCUUAAUAGUACAAAGAAUAAUCAGGGAACCCAUCUAACAUGGCAUGACAUUUUUUGUAAAUUGUCCAAUUAGUUUUCAACCUCUGAAAAUAAGCAACUAUAUAUAAAAAUUGCUAAAAUUCCUAAACAAUUAUUGCAGUUUUGUUAAAUAUUACCCUACUUUUUUUUUUUUUUUUGCUUGAGGUAAAUUAAAUGAUGGUUCCAUGAAUCAUUUAUUUUUGUCUAUAUGUCCAAACCAUUACAUAUUUCUUAAUUUUAUUUGUAUCUAUUUAGUUACUUUAAAUCAAUCGAUUUUAAAUCAAACAAUGUAAUUCAAGUCUUUGUACAACAAAAUUGGACUUUUCAGUUUCAAUUUUACAUUAAAUGUGCUAAAAUACAACUUUA